CACGUAGUUAGCCGGUGCUUCUUAUUCCGGUACCGUCAUCCACACGGGAUAUUCACCCGUGCGAUUUCGUUCCGGCCGAAAGAGCUUUACAACCCGAAGGCCUUCUUCACUCACGCGGCAUGGCUGGAUCAGGGUUGCCCCCAUUGUCCAAAAUUCCCCACUGCUGCCUCCCGUAGGAGUCUGGGCCGUGUCUCAGUCCCAGUGUGGCUGGUCGUUCUCUCAAACCAGCUACGGAUCGUCGCCUUGGUAGGCUUUUACCCUACCAACUAGCUAAUCCGGCAUCGGCCGCUCCUCUCGCGCAAGGCCCUUGCGGGUCCCCUGCUUUCAUCUCUCGAUCUCAUGCGGUAUUAGCCAGUCUUUCGACUGGUUAUCCCCCACAAGAGGACACGUUCCGAUGCAUUACUCACCCGUGCGCCGCUCGCCGCCAGGGUUGCCCCCGCGCUGCCGCUCGACUUGCAUGUGUAAGGCAUGCCGCCAGCGUUCAAUCUGAGCCAGGAUCAAA
rnacentral:rRNA from 1 species